rnacentral:rRNA from 1 species
GACGAACGCUGGCGGCGUGCUUAACACAUGCAAGUCGAACGGAAAGGCCCUGCUUUUGUGGGGUGCUCGAGUGGCGAACGGGUGAGUAACACGUGAGUAACCUGCCCUUGACUUUGGGAUAACUUCAGGAAACUGGGGCUAAUACCGGAUAGGAGCUCCUGCUGCAUGGUGGGGGUUGGAAAGUUUCGGCGGUUGGGGAUGGACUCGCGGCUUAUCAGCUUGUUGGUGGGGUAGUGGCUUACCAAGGCUUUGACGGGUAGCCGGCCUGAGAGGGUGACCGGCCAAAUUGGGACUGAGAUACGGCCCAGACUCCUACGGGGGGCAGCAGUGGCGAAUAUUGCACAAUGGGCGGAAGCCUGAUGCAACAACGCCGCGUGCGGGAUGACGGCCUUCGGGUUGUAAACCGCUUUCGCCUGUGACGAAGCGUGAGUGACGAUAAUGGGUAAAGAAGCACCGGCUAACUACGUGCCAGCCGCCGCCGUAAUAC